ACGCUGGCGGAAUGCUUAACACAUGCAAGUCGUGCGGUAACACUUCGGGUGACGAGCGGCGGACGGGUGCGUAACGCGUGAGAAUCUACCUUUUAGUGGGGGACAACUCGGGGAAACUCGAGCUAAUACCGCAUAUGUUCUAAGGAAUAAAGCAGGGGACCUUCGGGCCUUGCGCUAAAAGAUGAGCUCGCGUGAGAUUAGCUUGUUGGUGAGGUAAUGGCUCACCAAGGCGACGAUCUCUAGCUGGUCUGAGAGGAUGAUCAGCCACACUGGGACUGAGACACGGCCCAGACUCCUACGGGAGGCAGCAGUGGGGAAUAUUGGACAAUGGGGGCAACCCUGAUCCAGCAAUUCCGCGUGUGUGAAGAAGGCCUGCGGGUUGUAAAGCACUUUCAGUAGCCAAGAUGGGAUUAUUCAUU
rnacentral:rRNA from 1 species